rnacentral:tRNA from 1 species
UGAUUAAUAACUAUAAUUAAUCUUGUAAACUCAUUGACUGUUAGGUCUAUUGAAUCAUUGUUUGGACGAGGGUUCGAAUCCCUCAUGCUCCACAAAUUAUGGUAUUUAUAGUUCAACGGUUAGAAUAACUGAUUGUGGUUCAGUAGAUGUGGUUUCGAUUACCACUAAAUACCCUAAAAACUAAAACAAGGAGAUUAGUAGGUUUCCUAGCCAUUAGGUUGCAAGUCCUAUAAAAAGGAAACCUUAAUCUAGGGGCAUUAUGGAUUUGACAGCAAUAGUGAAGAUAGAAUAGGUCAAUAAAGCCAUAACUGGCAACUUUUAUGUAACAGACUAUACUCGUAUUGCAGCGUAAUACGAUAAGUCAACGGCUAAGCUAAUGUCGUAAAAAGCUGGAGUGAGAUAGGAAAUAAGGAGGGUUCGAUUCCCUCCCUCACUACAAAUCU